AUCCGUGCUUCAGAACAAACUCUUUCCCAUUUUACAUCUUCACUCAAAAAGACAACCAUGAAACUACUAGGCCUAAUGAUGUACCUCUUUGGACUGUGUUCCUCCAUCCCUGUGACUAAGGAACAUAAUAGAGAGGAGCACUCUUCAAGUAAAGAGGGGUACAAUGGUUUUGAGGGGUUAUACCCCUAUCCUCAGCAUCCCCAGAGUGACUCAAAACAGAUGUCCCUGCUACCCCUACUAUUG